rnacentral:rRNA from 1 species
GGAACUGAGACACGGUCCAGACUCUACGGGAGGCAGCAGUGGGGAAUAUUGCGCAAUGGGGGGAACCCUGACGCAGCCAUGCCGCGUGAAUGAAGAAGGCUUUCGGGUUGUAAAGUUCUUUCGGUAAUGAGGAAGGGAUGUUGUUAAAUAGAUAGCAUCAUUGACGUUAAUUACAGAAGAAGCACCGGCUAACUCCGUGCCAGCAGCCGCGGUAAUACGGAGGGUGCGAGCGUUAAUCGGAAUAACUGGGCGUAAAGGGCACGCAGGCGGACUUUUAAGUGAGAUGUGAAAUCCCCGAGCUUAACUUGGGAACUGCAUUUCAGACUGGGAGUCUAGAGUACUUUAGGGAGGGGUAGAAUUCCACGUGUAGCGGUGAAAUGCGUAGAGAUGUGGAGGAAUACCGAAGGCGAAGGCAGCCCCUUGGGAAUGUACUGACGCUCAUGUGCGAAAGCGUGGGGAGCAAACAGGAUUAGAUACCCUGGUAGUCCACGCUGUAAACGCUGUCGAUUUGGGGAUUGGGCUAUAUGCUUGGUGCCCGAAGCUAACGUGAUAAAUCGACCGCCUGGGGAGUACGGCCGCAAGGUUAAAACUCAAAUGAAUUGACGGGGGCCCGCCCAAGCGGUGGAGCAUGUGGUUUAAUUCGAUGCAACGCGAAGAACCUUACCUACUCUUGACAUCCUAAGAAGAGCUCAGAGAUGAGCUUGUGCCUUCGGGAACUUAGAGACAGGUGCUGCAUGGCUGUCGUCAGCUCGUGUUGUGAAAUGUUGGGUUAAGUCCCGCAACGAGCGCAACCCUUAUCCUUUGUUGCCAGCGAUUCGGUCGGGAACUCAAAGGAGACUGCCAGUGACAA